rnacentral:rRNA from 1 species
GACGAACGCUGGCGGCGUGCCUAAUACAUGCAAGUAGAACGCUGAAGAGAGGAGCUUGCUCUUCUUGGAUGAGUUGCGAACGGGUGAGUAACGCGUAGGUAACCUGCCUGAUAGCGGGGGAUAACUAUUGGAAACGAUAGCUAAUACCGCAUGAUAUUAAUUGUCGCAUGAUAAUUAAUUGAAAGAUGCAAUUGCAUCACUACCUGAUGGCUCUCCGUUGUAUUAGCUAGUUGGUGAGGUAACGGCUCACCAAGGCGACGAUACAUAGCCGACCUGAGAGGAUGAUCGGCCAAGCUGGGACUGAGACACGGCCCAGACUCCUACUGGAGGCAGCAGUAGGGAAUCUUCGGCAAUGGGGGGAACCCUGACCGAGCAACGCCGCGUGAGUGAAGAAGGUUUUCGGAUCGUAAAGCUCUGUUGUAAGAGAAGAACGGGUGUGAGAGUGGAAAGUUCACACUGUGACGGUAUCUUACCAGAAAGGGACGGCUAACUACGUGCCAGCCGCCGCGGUAA